rnacentral:rRNA from 1 species
CCUACGGGCGGCAGCAGUGAGGAAUAUUGGUCAAUGGGCGCGAGCCUGAACCAGCCAAGUAGCGUGAAGGAUGACGGCCCUACGGGUGGUAAACUUCUGUUAUAAAGGAAUAAAGUGAGGCACGUGUGCCGUUUUGUAUGGACUUUAUGAAUAAGGAUCGGCUAACUCCGUGCCAGCAGCCGCGGUAAGACGGAGGAUCCGAGCGUUAUCCGGAUUUAUUGGGGUUAAAGGGAGCGUAGAUGGGUUGUUAAGUCAGUUGUGAAAGUUUGCGGCUCCACCGUAAAAUUGCAAUUGAUACUGGCAGCCUUGAGUACAGUUGCGGUAGGCGGUCUUCGUGUUGUAGCGGUGAAAUGCUUCGCUCUCACG